rnacentral:ncRNA from 1 species
ACUAUGAAGUGUACUAGGACCUGUGAGUAGAUAUGAUUUCGGUCAAAUCCAAAGCAUACACGAAUGAUAUAGUAA